CCUACGGGAGGCAGCAGUGAGGAAUAUUGGUCAAUGGACGAGAGUCUGAACCAGCCAAGUAGCGUGAAGGAUGACUGCCCUAUGGGUUGUAAACUUCUUUUAUAAAGGAAUAAAACGAGGCACGUGUGCCUUUUUGCAUGUACCUUAUGAAUAAGGAUCGGCUAACUCCGUGCCAGCAGCCGCGGUAAUACGGAGGAUCCGAGCGUUAUCCGGAUUUAUUGGGUUUAAAGGGUGCGUAGAUGGGUUGUUAAGUCAGUGGUGAAAGUUUGCGGGUCAACCGUAAAAUUGCAAUUGAUACUGGCAUUCUUGAGUACACUAGAGGUAGGCGGAAUUCGUGGUGUAGCGGUGAAAUGCUUAGAUAUCACGCAGAACCCCGAUUGCGAAGGCAGCAUACUAAACUGUGACUGACGUUGAUGCACGAAAGUGUGGGUAUCAAACAGGAUUAGAUACCCCUGUAGUC
rnacentral:rRNA from 1 species